UCAUGGUUCAAUGCUGGUCUGUUCACUGAAUACUUUUCCCUUUAAGAAGGUUGUUCAUGUUUGGGCUACAAAUUAAUAUGUUAAUUAUUUCAUUCUUUAUUUACCAUUAUUCCAGAUAUGAUCAGCCACCUUACGGCAUUUCAUUCAACCCCAUCCCCUCUAAAAAGAUGGUCAGAUGGUCCUGGUGCCUGAUGAGUUUCCUACCUGAUGGCAUCCUUGAAAAACACAGCAAACUGACCAACAUAACUAGAGCUUUUAGAAUUGUAAUAGUAGAAAGUCCACUAGCAGUCUCUCCAUAGCAGGAGUAGUACAAAGAAAAUUCCUAAAUAGUAAAACAAGGAUGCUGGGGAAUACUUUGAAUACACUCAAUGCAUCGCAGCUUAUUCUACAUUUCAAGAAGAGAAUGGAAAGGAUUCCAGUUUUACUUCAGCAUGGGAACAUCUCCAAACAAUAGAUGCUUAAUGUGUUUUGAUAAGUAAAAACAGAAACAACGCUGCCUUGAUUUCACCUGGACUCCCUAACCACGCGCUGCCACUUACGCAUUCUAUCCCUUCCUCUGGUCCACUUCUGAUGACGUCAUGAUUCCCAUACGCCACCUCGGUUCCUUCCCAGCAUUCCAUCUGCCUGUUUCCGGUCCCACUCCAUAAAUUGUUCCCUUCCACCAUUUUCAUUUGUCUGUUGUAACGCUGGAAAGCAAUAUCACUGACCUGAUUUCAAAACUGUACAGUAUACGGGGCCGGAAAACCCCAAAUCUUUAUGAUCUUGUUGUCUCUUUAUUACACUAUCCAAAACAGUUGGGAACUGAAGACAUCUCCACAGCAUUAUAAAGAAAUGUCACUGACAAAUAAUGUUACAGGCACUAGUCAGAGGGUCUUUAUUGUAUGCAGAGAACUAAAUGGCUUCAACAUGGGAAGAAAAAAUCCAAAGUACAGUGUGUGAGAAAGCCUAUUGCUAGCAGCAUCAGAAAGCCCUCUUGUCCUACAUACACAGACACAAUCAUAACUCCUAACGAUCCUAACAAUUGCCAUGGAGUUCAUUUUAACUAGGCAACAUUUGAUGACCCUGAAAUGGUAUUUUUCAUUCCUAACCCUUUGUUCUUUGUUUGACUUCAGUAAGAGCAAAUGUCACUAGGAAAUUAACUGUAGUUUCUUGGGUUUCUGUAUAAGUAACAUUCUCUCAGUCACAUAGGCACAGUAAAGGAUCUAAAGAUCAGAAGAUUCUGUGCCAACUCAUAAUAAAGAAAUGCACUCAAGAAAUUCAAAUGAAUACAAUCAUUUGCUUUUCGGUUGUUUAAUUGGAAAAAGUAAUGUAUUUCCCAAGUUAAUUAUCUCAGUGCAAUAACUCAUUCACAGGCAGAAAUUAUUAGCAGCAUUAUGUUGCUUUUAGUGUCAAGAAUAUCUCUACCCCUUAUGUAUUUUAAGAGAGCAUUCAUAUGGUUCUAUUAUAUUCAAAAAUCAGACUCCAAAAGCCUCUAACUGAAAUCAGAUAAGAACCAUUUUUUUUCUGUAAAGUCAUCCCCAGGUUAGCAGUAAUGCUCUUAAAUUCAAAAAUCAAAGACAAACGUUAAUAGGUGAAGGGCACAUAAUGAGCUUUUGGAACAAAGCAGAUUAUCCUGUGCAAAUCAGAACACAUUUCUUAAUUAAAUGGUUUCUUUGAGAUGUCUUUAGGGAGUAGUCUCUAGUCACACUGCCCCAUUAUGUUUUGAUGUCAGUGACACCUCUCAAAUUAUAAAAACUAUCUCAGAACCUUUAUAAGAUUUUGAGUGUAGCAUUCAUACUCUUUCUACAGGGACUCUCAAAAAUGUGAAUAAUACCUAUUAACAUAUUUAUAGUGGAUGCAAUCAUGAAUUUGCUUUUAAGUAGCAGGGUCUGCACUAAACAAAUGUUACUUUCCCUUAUAUUAGGGCUCCAUCUAACUUAACCUCAGUCCCAGAACCAGAAGGAGCUAAUGAAUCCCAUAAUGAGAGAGACACUUCUUGGUUGCAGCCCUGCUACUGUUUGUACUGCUGUGAAUAACAGUAAUGAGCUCGGUCCUCGUAUUCAUAUACAGUGCCCUCCAUAAUGUUUGGGGCAAAGAUACAUUUUUGCUUCAUUUACCCCUCUCCUCCACAGUUUAAAAUUACAAAUCAAACAAUUCAGACAUAAUUAAAGUGCACAUUGCAGACAUUAAUUUAAAAGUAUGUGCGUACAUUUCAGUCACACUACAUAGAAAUAAUAAGAUGUUUCUUUAUACAUCAGAAUUCUUCGUGCAACUGCUGUCAACAGUUACAUCAUUAAUUAAGAUAAGUGUGCAAGUACUGGGGACAGUCAUAUACGCCCAAGGCAUGUCAACCCAACCACCACCGUGUUUAAAAGAUGAUUUAGUGUGGAUCUUGAACAGUUCCUUUUCAUCUCUUUGCUCUGCUUUUUGCCAUCACUCUGAUACAGAUUAAUGUUUGUCUUCUCUGCCUACAAGACCUUUUUACUGAAUUCUGCAGGCUCUUUUAAGCACCUUUUUUUUGCAAACUAGAAUCUGGCCAUCCUGUCUUUGUGGCUACCUAGUGGUUUGCACCUUGCAUUGUGGCCUCUGCAUUUCUGUUCACGAAGUCUUCUGUGCAUAGUGGUCUCUGCCAAAUCCACAGCUGCCUCCUGAAGACUGUGUAUGAUCUGUCGGACAGGUGUUUGGGGCUUUUUCUUUACCAUAGUUAGGAUUCUUCUGUGUUCAGCAUUGGAGGUCUUCCUUGGCCUGCCAGCCCCUUUGUAAUUACUGAGCUCACCAGUGCA